AGGAACGAGUGGCAAACAGGUGUCAGGGUGCAAAAGCAUCAACUUUUACGAGAAUUAAUGCGACAAUCUGUUACUAAAAUGCAAAUUUUUAGCUUUGUUGUGUUACUGUUCACAUUUAUCUUUCGUGUCAAUUGAUUUGAUAUGAACUCGAGGCGAUGCUUUGUUAAAUACGUUCAAUCGUGCGUUGGAUGGCGAUCGUGAGAAUAUUCCUGUUGUAUUCUUUCUAAACACUGGCAUGUUUAGUUGUAAAUAGCAACGAUCGAUGAUCUGUUACACCCUUGUCCGCCACAUGAUCUUGUGAAACAAGUCUGUGGGGGACUGUAUGAAAAAAAAUUAAAGCUUAAAAGUUGAAGCGUUGUCAAAUUAUGGAUGUUUACAAUGUGGUCGUUGUUAGAUUAUUUUCGAGCGUUGUUAUGUGCUCGCAACGGCCGUUCAUCGCAUCGUGUGAAGAAGUAUGAGUCUUAGAAAAUUUUUAAACAUGGCCCUGGAACAUCGCUGUAAAAGAUAAGUAUUUCUCAUUUCCUUUUGCACAGUACUGCCUUUGAUUGAUUUUUAUACCCGAUUAUAUUUUUGACAAAUUUUCGUUGGUAGUUGUAUUUGCAAAAUGACAGCGCAAGUUUAAAAGCGCUGAAUAAUGUUUCUAGCGCGUGUGACACGAAAUCCAUUUCAGAACAAAAGCUUUAACCUAUUUUUCGGUUGAUAUCAGUUGUAUUUUCUGCUACUGGCUUGUUUGUAAUGAUAUAAUUAAAUAUUUAGUAUGAUUCAUGACCAUUUGCACAAAUGUACAAUGUAACAAGAAGCGGGAUUUUUCGACGCUUUAAACGGCACUUUCUGUAGUGUUUUAAACCUGGAUUUUUGUUUGUUACAAGUUUUGUUCUUAGGCCUUCGGAUUCUGCUUUCAUAAUUCCUUUACUUGAUGCAAAAAAGAAAUUUCUAGUGCAAUUUAUUUGAGAGUAAUCAAUGUGCAAUGGGAAUUAUGCAAUGAAAUAAAAUAGUCUUUCCGAAAAUGUGUAAAACAAGCAAACAAACAAGUGUGACGAGACACACCUUUAUGUAGCAAUAGUUUGUUUAUUACUGUAAAGUCCCGUGCUAUUUCGUCCUGUUUUUAGGCUGUUUCAAGUUCAAAAAUUCGGUAGUUUUUCACCGACCCUUCGUCGUAGGUGUCUGGAAUGUUUCGAAUGGAAAGAGUUUUGUGGGAAGGUCAAGAUGUACAUUUCAUUGGCGUUUGCGUGCGUGCGUAAUGGAGUGUAAACAAACGAAUCUUUGAGGAUUGUUGUGUUUAUUGUCGUUUCCUCGUUCACUACAACUACAUACAAAGUAUUGUUGGCUAUGUUCAGAUGAACCUCUUACCGGGCUAGUUUCAGUAGCCAUCGGCGGAACUCGAACAAGGCAAACAAUACAAAGGGAAGGCAUGGCCACAAAGAGAUGGAGACUCUGGAUGGAGUUGGACAACUUGUUCAUUCAGUUCAUUCACAACAUCAUCAAAGUUGGUGUUAGGAACAAGAUCCAUUUCAUCAAAAGUGUCAUCAUCUUCAUUAAUUUUGCCACUUGUUUGUUCUUCAAAGUUUUCAGUGUCGUCAUCCUGAUCAUGCAGUAGGGCUGAGUUUGCGGAGGUUGCCAGGCUGGUCACUACAUCUGUUAGGUGGACUUGACAUAUGUAGCAGAAAGAACGCCCAGCCAGACAUUCAUCAUGAAAAGAAUGCCAGCACCCUUCAAAUAUGUGCCAAGGUUGUUCUCCAGUCAAGGUACAAGACAGAGAGUCGCAUCUCCUGUCAACAUCUGGUCUCUGGUGACAUUGAAACCCAAGGGGAAGGAAAUAACUCUUCACAACCUUUUCAGCAAAAAGAGAUGGCAUGAUGUAGUUAUUUAAAUCUUUCCUCUGACCCUUCUUUCUGGGAAGAUGUUGAGCCUCAUUAGGAUUAUUAGCUAUCCUGGUAAACAUAUCAACAAGAACACGUGCAACUUUUGUUCAUCUGUUGCUGAAUCAGUUGUGUGCCUCCUGAUGACUGAGUGGACAUAUUCAACUGUUGACUCAUCUAUGAUGUUAAGAUGCAGUGGGAUAUAAUUAAGAACCAAGUCCUCAUCUGAAUUUAAAUCAAUGUGGAGUGGCCCAAUCAUUGGGAUGAUGGAUAGCAGAGGAGAAACAGCCGCAUUGUUGUUUAGAGGCAGUUUAAGAAAAUCAAUCAGAUGCACAUUGUCAAACUUCCGUAGAUGUCGUACAUCAGCUGAUGCACAGUAAUCAUGUGCCUCAAGGCGUUCACGCUCCAUAAGUGGAUAAAAAAACUCAGCUGUGAUCUCAGGCAUACAGGAAGCAUAGGGUGGACUUCCUCUGGUUUUCUCAUUUGUAUGGCACUAAGACUUGGGAAUAUCUUAACAAUUAUGGUACACAUGUUAUUAGCAGUACUGGUUUGUAGAUUUGUAGGUCUCCGACUUGUGUGUAUGGUGGUGUAGUCAUCAAUCAUUAGCAGUAAAAGUUGUUUUUUCUGAAUUGCUGUGUUGAUAGCCUCAUUGACACUCAAUUCAUUAGAUAAUGCAUAAUGUGACAAAGCCCUAUCUAUAGUUCUGCUGCAGCAUGCUGUACCUAUUGUCCUCUGUGUGUCUAUGCCAUCAUUAGUGCAGUGCGAAAAUUUUAACAAAAUGCCAUUAUCAACUUGAAAAAAGUCACACUUUUGUGACAGACCAAAACAAAGCUGCAAUACUAAAGAUACACAACGUUUCUCAUUCAGGCUUUUUCUCUGCUUUGUGUGCCGUGAACUAGUCAUGCAUGACAACAGUAGCUGAAAUAUGUUGUGUGCUCCUGCCCUAGCACAAAAUUCUUGAAAUGCAUCCGGAUUGUAUGUGGGAAGAUUUUGUGCAGUUUUAAAAUUUUUGUAGUAUGCAUUCUGAAGGCGUAUAACCUCUUUAACUACCUGAGCACCUGGAAGAGAUAAAAUAGUAUUAGACAAUGAAAUGUAUGUGGACCAUUUUUUUACGUUGUAAAUUAACCUAAA
rnacentral:lncRNA from 1 species